AUUGAACGCUAGCGGGAUGCUUUACACAUGCAAGUCGAGCGAGCGGCGGACGGGUGAGUAAUGUAUGGGGACUGCCCGAUAGAGGGGGAUAACUACUGGAAACGGUAGCUAAUACCGCAUACCAUCGGAUACCCCAUAUGGGAUUAGCUAGUAGGUGAGGUAAUGGCUCACAUAGGCGACGAUCACUAGCUGGCCUGAGAGGAUGAUCAGCCACACGGGUACUGAGACACGGCCCAUACGCUUACGGAUGAAGCAGUGGGGAAUAUUGCACAAUGGACGCAAGCCUGAUGCAGCCAUGCCGCGUGUAUGAAGAAGGCCCUAGGGUUUGAAAGUACUUUCAGUCGGGAGGCGUUACCGACAGAAGAAGCACCGGCUAACUCCGUGCCAGCAGCCGCGGUAAUUC
rnacentral:rRNA from 1 species